AAAUGGGCCAGAGAAGAGUUGAAAGAUUUGAAAGAAGAGAUGAAAAAAGAGUUGAAAAAAGAAGUGAUAGAAGAGAUGGAAGGCUAGAAAGAAGAGGUGAUAGGGAUCAUCAAAACACUCAGUCAGUAAGGCGGAGUAGGGAACGAAGUCUGGGUAGACCGGUCAGAGGAUUUAUAAACACGAUUUCAGGAGGUUUUUCAGGAAAGGAAUCCUCAUCAGCAAGAAAACAACAUUGGAGAAGCAUCAGAACAAUUAAUCAUAUUUUCAAAAGAAGAACCCUGCCACCAAUGCUUUUCACAGAUGAAGAUUUUC
rnacentral:lncRNA from 1 species